AUUGAACGCUGGCGGCAGGCCUAACACAUGCAAGUCGAGCGGAGCGGCGGCGGGGGGAGAAAUGCCUAGGAAUCUGCCUGGUAGUGGUGGAUAACGUACGGAAACGGGCGCUAAUACCGCAUACUAUAAGACCAGCCUAGGGCGGAUGAGCUAGUUGGUGGGGUAACGGCCUACCAAAGCGACGAUCCGUAACUGGUCUGAGUGGAUGAGCAGUCAACCUGGAACUGUGACACGGUCCAGAGUCCUACGGGAGGCAGCAGGGGGUAAUAUUGGAAAAUGGGCGAAAGCCUGAUCCAGCCAGGCCGAGUGUGUGAAGAAGGUCUUCGGGUUGUAAAGCACUUUAAGUUGGGAGGCGUUACCAACAGAAUAAGCACCGGCUAACUUCGUGCCAGCCGCCGCGGUAAUAC
rnacentral:rRNA from 1 species